rnacentral:rRNA from 1 species
GAUGUAACGCCUGGGCGGCGUGCUAACACGAUGCAAGUCGAACGGAGUGGCUCGAUAGGACGGAGGAUUCGUCCAACGGAUUGAGUUACUUAGUGGCGGACGGGUGAGUAACGCGUGAGGAACCUACCUCGGAGUGGGGAAUAACAGCCCGAAAGGGUUGCUAAUACCGCAUGAUGCAGCUGGGUCGCAUGACCCUGGUUGCCAAAGAUUUAUCGCUGAAAGAUGAGCUCGCGUCUGAUUAGCUAGUUGGCGGGGUAACGGCCCACCAAGGCGACGAUCAGUAGCCGGACUGAGAGGUUGAACGGCCACAUUGGGACUGAGACACGGCCCAG